GUGACUGCUGCAGCUGCUGUCUAGGUACCACACAUUUUUUGAUUGUUGUUGAGCCGUCAUACAAGAGAAAAGCUGUUCAUCUUCAUCUUUGGAAAAGUUUGCUUCAUCCUUCUCAUCUUUGUUCUAGUAAUAACAAUCUCUUUGAGAGUGGUUAGGAUUUCUGCAUCUCUUGCAUUUGUAGAAGCAAUCAUUUGUUUCAUGAUUUGAUUUUCUGCAAAUUUUGCAAAAAAUAUUUGCAUUUCCAGCUUGACGAUUUGGAUUUC
rnacentral:lncRNA from 1 species